rnacentral:lncRNA from 1 species
UAAACACAGCUUUUCCAGCAAUUAGUCUGAGAGAAACAUCUGAGCUGCACUGAUGCAACGAAUAAAAGGGCAGUAGGUUGAAGUUAGGGAGAAAAUGUUUUGUUAAACAGUGCAUUCCCCUGUUUUCCCAUACAGUGUACAUAGUAGUACCUGUAAUAGAAAGGUACUUUCUUCUGAAAAAGUAGAUACAGCAAACUAAAAGUGAGAAGAAAUUCAGUACCAUCACCAGCCCAACAGACUGCAUAGGUUUAUCAUAGUAAUUCCCUGAGGAAGCUGUGAUCAUACAUAAGUAUUAUUACAAUGCUAUGGAGACAUGCUCUCAAGACUGUAAAAUGUGCUUCCCUGUGUGUUAUAAUCUAGGUUUUUAAUGACUGUUUUAUAUGGAAAUGUAAGAUAGGGACAUUUAGAGAAUGCUUUGCCUAGGUUUGGGUCUGAAAAUUAUGCGUAAAGGGGAUUGAAAUUAUGGGUAAGGGUCCUAGCAGCAUCAGGACAGGCAGCUGUGCUUGUCCCAGAACAAUCUGGUCCAGAGAAAGAUGGCCGUUUUUGGACUGAAUAUAAUUUAGAAGUUGACAUGAAUGGGACUUGAAAGGCACCUUUAGGUGCCUAAGAUUGGAUUUUAAAGCCUCAAUUUAGGCUUCCAUUUUAGAAAUUUUUCAAGUUAUUCUGUUAAAAAAAAAAAAAAAAAAAGAGGCUGAAACCAUCUCUUGCUUCUUAGUUGUAUGGAAAGGUGUUAUAAAGGACUGUUUAUUAUUUAGGUUUAUUAAAGGACUGUUUAUUAAUAACAUAUCUUUAACAGAUAUGUUAUUAUUGUUCAGAUAACAGUUUGCAUCAGUAUGUAAUCUAUAUGACCAGGUCUGAAGGAGAGGCAGAGAAAAGCACAAACCUGAGAAUCAUGAGCAAAGGAGCCAUAGAAAGCGUUAUCUUUUCACGGAAGCAGGAUUUCUCUUUCAUGUACAUGGAACAUGUACCUGGAUCCUUGCUAUAGUUGCAACAAAUACUUUAAAAUUCUGGAUUACAGUACAGUUGAGGUAAGAAUGACACACUAAGAAAUACCUCUAUGGGUCUUCAAAGAAGGAUGUUAACACCACUAAG